rnacentral:rRNA from 1 species
CCUACGGGUGGCAGCAGUGGGGGAUAUUGCACAAUGGGGGAAACCCUGAUGCAGCGACGCCGCGUGGGUGAAGAAGCGCCUCGGCGCGUAAAGCCCUGUCAGCAGGGAAGAAAAUGACGGUACCUGAAGAAGAAGCCCAGGCUAACUACGUGCCAGCAGCCGCGGUAAUACGUAGGGGGCAAGCGUUAUCCGGAUUGACUGGGUGUAAAGGGGGCGCAGACGGCGAUGCAAGCCAGGCGUGAAAGCCCGGGGCCCAACCCCGGGACUGCUCGUGGAACUGCGUGGCUAGAGUGCAGGAGGGGCAGGCGGAAUUCCUGGUGUAGCGGUGAAAUGCGUAGAUAUCAGGAGGAACACCGGUGGCGAAGGCGGCCUGCUGGACUGCAACUGACGUUGAGGCCCGAAAGCGUGGGGAGCAAACAGGAUUAGAUACCCUAGUAGUC